UUCUUGUAUAGUGGAAGAGGUUUUAGGGUUCUUUAUCCAUAUCGAACCGUCACUCACACACAUUUCACUAUCUUUUCUGAAACCCACCAGACCACUAUGUUCGCAGCCCUCCGGUGAACCACUGUGAAUCGCCAUUCCAUAAGGAAAAAAUUAUCGCAUGUAACUCUUAUGUUGAGUUGAGAGAUGGGGACGACGACAAUAUGGCAGGUGCUAAACUAAUAGAACCGACAAUUUGCUGUAAUGGGUAUCGUUUUCUAUAUCCAAGUUGAAUUGGUUGAUUUUUCGAUGGAUUUGUUUGUGGCAGUGAUGAUUUAUGCAGGUUGAUGUCUCCUUGGUGGAUUUGGUUGUAGUGGUUUUUGUUUUUUGCAGUUUUCCCAACAACGCCAUUGCUGAUUUGGUCAUCAUCCCUCCAAGUUGUUUAAUUGAUUAGAUCUUCAUCCGGCCAACAAAACUGUUCUUACUUCUUUAUCACAUGCUCACAUCCGUCUACAACUUCAUCGACAAGUUUUCUACAACUGAACUUUUCAAUCAUCUAUUGAAGCUGGUACUUUGUUGGAGAGAGUAGACGCGUUUGAUGUGAAUGGGAACUCGGGUUUGAUUUCUAAUUUGUGGACGGAUCAGAAGGCCGGUGUUUCAUUUGCACAUCUUUAUGGGUAUGCAUCAAUAUUCCUCAAGCUCAAAAGAGUAAGAGCUAGAAAAGGGUUAUCUUUUUCCUUGAAUCUGUUUAUUUAUUCGUCAAAACUUAAUACUAAUAUCUGUUUAUUUGAAGGUUCUUUGUUUUUUGGCAUGACGAAUAAGGUGUGGAGUUACAAAUGGGGAGCGACUUGAAGAGAUCAGUUGAUGUGUAUGUAUUUCGAAAUGGGGAGUGAUUUGAAGACCUGGGUAUUAGAUAAGUUGAUGCCCGUCUUGGGAUAUUCGCAACCCGCCUUGGUUCAACAUGUGUUUACUUUAUCUAAGAAAGCUUCAUCUCCUGAUGAUGUAUAUAAUAAUCUUAAAGACAUGGGGGGUGUCAUCUUCUAACAACACACGCAUUUGGUGAAGAAAUAUUCCAGAAGGUUGAAUAUAAGAGAUCUGAAUCAAAUUUGUUACAGUGAUUGACUUCCUGACAAAGAACCGGAGGAGUUAUAGCAUCAUCUAAAGAAAAAAAAAAGAUGCCGCCAGGAUGAUAAAAGUCUACUUUUAGUGAUCAUCGUUUAAUCAAUCUAAUUUUAAUAUGAAUUGAUUUUUGGUUU
rnacentral:lncRNA from 1 species